rnacentral:lncRNA from 1 species
AGCCUCGCCACCCUUGGCCAUCCCCAGGGCACCUUGUUUGGCUUUCCUGCUUAAAUGGCAAAUAGGUGGCCUGGCCUGCGUCUUUGGAGCCCCUCUUAACCGGCCAAAACUUACACAUUUUGGCUGUUGAAUUUUGCUGGGCUGGGGUAGAUGAAAGGAUUGCUCCCAGGCUCAGUUGCCUGGCCAUCACAGCCAACUUUUUCCCGCAGCAGGGCUUGUCGGCCGGGUCUCUGUUCUGGAAAAGCCAUUUUUGGGGAAGUCCAAGGCUCUCAGGAUCCUCCUGGCACUGUAUCUUCCUUCCUCACCUUGGAUUUCAGGGCUGGAAACGGCAAGGAAAACCAGAGGCUGACAGUUCACAUAUCCUUAAAUAUACAGAUCCAGCUCUUCCUGAAUUCAUUUGGGUUUCCUUGCAAAGAUGGGACUUUCAGAUGAAGAAACAGGCCAGCAGGCUUAAGUGACUUGCCCAGGGCUUGGUUACACAACGAGCCUUGUGUCUGAGCUGGAUGUGAAGAUGGGUUUUCCUCACUCCUGCUCUACUUCUCAGCUGCCCUGCAUGACCUUGAUAGAAGCGUGUUUUAAUUAAGCCUAGCCAUGUGGCCAUGCAAUGCCAUCCUGGGGUGAUGGACCUGGUUACCCUCCUAUCCUAAC